UUUGGGUUGAUUUGCUAUCAAUUUGAUGUGUGUGAUGUGAUUCGAAUGUAUUUUUGUUAGAAUAUUACAACAUUUUAUCACAGAGAUUAACUGAUUAAUUAUAGUAUUAAGACUUUAUUAUUAGACUUAGAAACAAAUCUAUAUGCUCGGACAAGGAACCUGAUGUAUUUCAUACCAAGUGAAGAUGAGACUCAUGGAAGUGAUACGUAGCCCCUGACCGAACCCGAAGAAAACAGUCAAUAUUAACGAAUGGUAAAGAAACGUAAUUAAGAAGAAUAGGCUUUCUGGUCAAGAAAAUGAAAGUAGAGGGAUAAAUAAAAGAAGGAAAAUAGUCAACAAAAUGCCCAAAAAAUGUUUGCUGUCCAGUCAAUAAUUUAAACUCAGAUCUCCUUUACCAAGAAACGCUAAAAAUUAAACAUGAGAAAUGGGAGAAUUUACAAAAGUUGCUAGAUGUCCGUCUUCCAAUAUACCAUCAAUUUUAUAAAGACUUGCCUCUUGACCCAAAGGCUAAAAAUUUAAAAAACAAACUUAAAGCAAUCCAGCUGAAGAUUCGUUAAUUGAAAAUGUCGAAGAACAAGAUAUUAAUUAGAUGACAUUUUUGUCAGAUUACAAGUAAAUUUAUCUGUUGUAUUCCUAAACAUUAAUUUUUGGAAAAAAUAGUCAAAUAUUCAAAAACAUUGUUUGCUUUGUCGUAUUUUUUGAUAUUUUGUUUCGAUUCAAAGGUAAACAACCCAAGUGCCUUUUUGGUAAUGUAUAAAAUGUAUUUCACAAA